rnacentral:rRNA from 1 species
UACGUAGGGUGCAAGCGUUAAUCGGAAUUACUGGGCGUAAAGCGUGCGCAGGCGGUUGUGCAAGACCGAUGUGAAAUCCCCGGGCUCAACCUGGGAAUGGCAUUGGUGACUGUACGGCUAGAGUGUGUCAGAGGGGGGUAGAAUUCCACGUGUAGCAGUGAAAUGCGUAGAGAUGUGGAGGAAUACCGAUGGCGAAGGCAGCCCCCUGGGAUAACACUGACGCUCAUGCACGAAAGCGUGGGGAGCAAACAGG